rnacentral:ncRNA from 1 species
AGAUAGAGGCGCAAGGAUCAAAAGUAGCUCACCCGAGACCGCGGUAGGUCAGUGACGGUGUGCGGAAGGGAUCUUUGCCGAAGCCGGACUCCGCCGCGGAGCCGUCAGGCUGGGCGUGCGGAUAAUAUCCGUCCGACUGUCGCGCAAGCGGAGAGCUAUCGG